GAUGAACGCUGGCGGCGUGCCUAAUACAUGCAAGUCGAGCGAACGGACGAGAAGCUUGCUUCUCUGAUGUUAGCGGUGGACGGGUGAGUAACACGUGGAUAACCUACCUAUAAGGCUGGGAUAACUUCGGGAAACCGGAGCUAAUACCGGAUGAUAUUUUGAACCGCAUGGUUCAAAAGUGAAAGACGGUCUUGCUGUCACUUAUAGAUGGAUCCGCGCUGCAUUAGCUAGUUGGUAAGGUAACGGCUUACCAAGGCAACGAUGCAUAGCCGACCUGAGAGGGUGAUCGGCCACACUGGAACUGAGACACGGUCCAGACUCCUACGGGAGGCAGCAGUAGGGAAUCUUCCGCAAUGGGCGAAAGCCUGACGGAGCAACGCCGCGUGAGUGAUGAAGGUCUUCGGAUCGUAAAACUCUGUUAUUAGGGAAGAACAUAUGUGUAAGUAACUGUGCACAUCUUGACGGUACCUAAUCAGAAAGCCACGGCUAACUACGU
rnacentral:rRNA from 1 species